CUGGUAGUAGAAGGUAGUUAGUUAGAGGUGUUAGGAGAGUAAGUGCUCUUUGAAGAGCUCUGUCUUCAGGAGUUUAUUAAAGAUAGAGAGAGAUUCUCCUGAUCUGGUAGUAGAAGGUAGUUAGUUAGAGGUGUUAGGAGAGUAAGUGCUCUUUGAAGAGCUCUGUCUUCAGGAGUCUCUUAAAGAUAGUGAGGGAUUCUCCUGAUCUGGUAGUAGAAGGUAGUUAGUUAGAGGUGUUAAGAGAGUAAGUACUCUUUGAAGAGCUCUGUCUUCAGGAGUUUCUUAAAGAUAGCGAGAGAUUCUCCUGAUCUGGUAGUAGAAGGUAGUUAGUUAGAGGUGUUAGGAGAGUAAGUACUCUUUGAAGAGCUCUGUCUUCAGGAGUUUCUUAAAGAUAGCGAGAGAUUCUCCUGAUCUGGUAGUAGAAGGUAGUUUGUUCCACCAUUGGGGAACUCUGUAUGAGAACAGUCUGGAUUGCUUUGUGUGAAUGUUUGGUAAAGCGAGGCGACGUUCAUUGGAGGAGCGCAGCGGCCGGGAGGUAGCGUAAGCCUUCAGGAGCGAGUGCAGGUAGGAAGGAGCCUGUACUGUCAUCACCUUGUAGGCGAUUGUAAGAGCUUUGAAUUUGAUGCGAGCAUCAACUGG